CGAACCCCCGAAGCGCGUCCCCGCGCAGGCCGUGGGCGCGCACGGCCGCUGCCGCCGUUUGUUCUGGUGGAGGCUGCGAGUGCCUGGGCCUGUGACUCCCGGCUCUCCGCGCGCAGCGUCAGUCUGGGAGGGAAGCUCACAUGGCGGUCCCUAGGGUGCGACUGGAGGGAGGCGGGACGAUGCUACUCCUUGCUCCCCAACCUGACACCUUGGUGCGGUAAAACUGUAAGAAGGUAACAAAAUCAUAUCUGAAGCCCAGGUCUUCUUUUCUUUUACUACAGAUGCCCUGGACAUCAUUCCGAACAGCACAAUUCAAGGCUCUUGGGUAACCCCCUCCCACACCAACUCUGAGUUUGUUUAUGGCUUGUUUUGGACAAUAAGACAUUAGCAAAUGAGAUAUAAGUACAGGCUUGAGAAGUACAUGGGCACUGGGGCUUGCUUGCUGGCUGCUCUGUGGAACCUGAGACUACCACGUGAAGAAGAAGUUCGAAGUGCUAGAGGUUGAGAGAACAUGUGCAGCAAAGAUGAAGCAUCCCAGCUGAGAUUCCCCUAGAUCAAUCAGCUUGCCAACUGCCGCAAAAGCGAAUAAAGCCUUCCAAGAGCAUCCAGCUAUAAGGUGAGCCAGUCCAGACCGGAAGAAUCACCUGAUCAACUGAAAGAUAUAUGUGAAAUAAUAAAUGUUAGAGGUUUUAAAUUUUAAGAGGUACAGAGGCAUAUGGUUGAUGGUUCUGUUGUAUAAUCAUUAUUUAGUCUGGAAAGAAUCACUUGGAGUCGUCUGCUUUUAACUUUUGUCAUAAACACAACAUAUGAGAUAACAUAUUUCAAAA
rnacentral:lncRNA from 1 species